CCCCUCUCAGGACGGCAGCUGGAGAAUUUCCAGUACUCUACCAGACUCGGUUACGGGAGGGAGAGUCAAGCAGAGGCAUACCCAUUCCAUUCCUAGCUCGGGCAGUGGCUAGCGAGUGGCAGGCAGUCAGCGACAAGU